GGAUUGCAUUUUAAGUUUGGAUUAGAACUCCUGUUAUGGAUUACCAGGAAAUGUUUUUACACUUGAAUGCUGUGAGUAGACAGUAAUACAGCCACUAGCAUGAUAUGAAGUCAGGUCAGAUAAGAAGCAUAAAGAAUUAAAUAAAAAACAGUAUUUUAAAGCUACUUUGGUUUUAACCUGAGGGGAAGAAUUUUUCACCAUUUUUAUUUCAGUGUCUUCUGCUUUACCGGGAAUUUGGAAAGCGAACAGGUUUUUAAUUCCGACUUGUGAUGAGCACUUUGGACUGAAAUCAAAGCUGGAAAUAAUGAUGCUUCAGGAGAAGCAGAAGCUUCAAGCCCUGCGUGUGAGCUAAAAACUUUCUGCUGCGGCUUCUAAUCAGAUCUUCUGAAGGAAGUUGUAAGAGGCCCUGGAACAUUUUGGAGUUUAAGUAUCAUGUAGAAAUGAGCUGCAUUUCCAAUCCCUAAUUUCAACUACAGCUAACAAAAGGGUUUAAAAAGCCUUUCCUUUCCUGCUCUGAGACGGAAAUGCUCUUCUGGAGCAGUUAAUUCAAUCAGUCGUCCACAAACAAACGACCUCAUAAAUCAAAGGAACCCAAGGAGAGACCAGCACGGAAAUUGCAAGGAGAGUGACAAAAGUCGUCUUACUGACUUGCCGCAAGACCUGGGUUUAGCUCUCCGAAGGCAGGACUGGCCCAAAGGCUCCUGCAGCAUGACGUGACUCGGGCUAAAAGGGGUCCAACAGACUGUUUUCGACUCAACCAGAGGAAAUUGGCCAUUGCAGGCUGUAUGCUAAAUGAUUAAUUAUUUGGGCAAUUUAAGGCUGAAUUAAGGAAAUAAUAAGUAAAGGUAA
rnacentral:lncRNA from 1 species